GAGAGAGAGAGAGAGAGAGGAGGAAGCAGGCUCCCUGCAGCACAGAGAGCCCGAUGUGGGGCUCGAUCCCAGGACCCUGGGAUCAUGACCUGAGCCGAAGGCAGAGGCUUAACCCACUGAACCACCCAGGUGCCCCUGCAAGUACUUUUGAUGACAAUGAAGAAUAGGCAGGUGGAGUGUUUUCAAGGUACUCCAAGGUGCCGAAAGGAUUUGUGAUGGUUCCUUUCACAACAUGCUCAGGGAACUGAUCUGUAAUGAGAAUAGGGCUUGAUGAGCAGGGGGGCCCAGUCAGGGUGGGAUAGCGGAGUUUGGUUUUCCUUCGUUCUUGGUCUGUCCUCCUCUGAAGGAGGCUGACACCCCUCUUCUUCACCCCAGCAAACCAUGAAGAACUGAAACUUGAGAGAGAUCUUUGAAAGCUAGCUGUUCCUUUGCUUAUGCAUCAGGACCAGCCAUUGGAAGCUCCGUGGAGACAGUGAGCCUGGCUGUAAGGAGGCAGGAUUCCUUGCAGCCCUGUUUAUGGGGAUGGAGAAGCCUACACACACAGGCACGCUGGGGCACGAGUCAGGGAAACCGAUGUCAGAUCUGCCCUUGGCCUGAGCACAGCAGGCUGAGGCCGGAGCUUUGGUGCCUUCCUCCUCUCUGCCUUUCCCUUACAUGGCCCUAUUUCCACCCUUGCAAAGCCAAGCUCCUGUUUGGGCAGCUCCUUCUAAGGCACCCACUUGGCCCUUGUCUUGCAAGUUGGCACAGAAAAUAAUUUACUCCAUGUCUGCAUUUACUCCAUGGAAAGGUGAACUGAAAAGUCGAAGAAGACGCUGGUUCGUCAGAGCCGGCAGGUUUGAACUUCCCAUUGCUUGGCAACAAGUGUAAUGGUCUCUCUGCAUUCCUGGUUACUUCUAAAAGAAACUCUCAGAAUGCUUCCUGCACUGAUUUGCUGCUGCCUUUCUGUUAUUAAACUUCUAGCAGAAUGCCAACAA